UACGUAGGGCGCAAGCGUUGUCCGGAAUUAUUGGGCGUAAAGAGCUCGUAGGCGGUUUGUCGCGUCUGUCGUGAAAGCUUGGGGCUUAACCCCAAGUCUGCGGUGGAUACGGGCGGACUGGAGUUCGGCAGGGGAGACUGGAAUUCCUGGUGUAGCGGUGAAAUGCGCAGAUAUCAGGAGGAACACCGGUGGCGAAGGCGGGUCUCUGGGCCGAUACUGACGCUGAGGAGCGAAAGCGUGGGGAGCGAACAGG
rnacentral:rRNA from 1 species